GAAUUUGUAAUUUUCAUGGAAAUAUUAAGCAAAUUAGCGUCGAAAUUGCUUGAUCCCAGACUGCCGCCUCCCUCGCCACCCUGUACGGCGGCGACGCCGGCAGCCAGCGGUUGUUCCGGUCACCGGAGCAUGCGUAUGGCAGAAUGUUGACCUUUUUAUGUAGAUUACGAAUAUACAGUUAGUUUUGCAACCCGAAUUCAAUUGACCUUCAAAUAAUUAUUCGACGCAAAUUUAGAAAUUCGGUGUUAUAGCUGAAAAACUGUAGAAGUUUAGAUUUAGUGACCUUAGCAAAUUUAUGUGGAUUAAUUAUCAAAGUAGGUACAAUAAAACAAUAA
rnacentral:lncRNA from 1 species